CGGACGGGUGAGUAAUGUCUGGGAAACUGCCUGAUGGAGGGGGAUAACUACUGGAAACGGUAGCUAAUACCGCAUAACGUCGCAAGACCAAAGAGGGGGACCUUCGGGCCUCUUGCCAUCGGAUGUGCCCAGAUGGGAUUAGCUUGUAGGUAAGGUAACGGCUUACCUAGGCGACGAUCCCUAGCUGGUCUGAGAGGAUGAUCAGCCACACUGGGACUGAGACACGGCCCAG
rnacentral:rRNA from 1 species